AUCUAAGAGAUUAGACGUUCCCUUCGGGGACAUGGAUACAGGUGGUGCAUGGUUGUCGUCAGCUCGUGUCGUGAGAUGUUGGGUUAAGUCCCGCAACGAGCGCAACCCUUAUUAUCAGUUGCCAGCAUUAAGUUGGGCACUCUGGUGAAACUGCCGGUGACAAACCGGAGGAAGGUGGGGAUGACGUCAAAUCAUCAUGCCCCUUAUGACCUGGGCUACACAAGUGCUACAUUGGAUGGAACAACAAGUUGCGAACUCGCGGGAGUAAUCUAAUCUCUUAAAGCCAUUCUCAGAUCAGAUUGAACGUUGCACCACCGUUUAUUUGAAUCCUGAAUGGAUAGUAUACACGCAUAAACUUGACCCGUGUAAAUACUUCCUCGGAUCUUGCUAUCCACCUAUUUCGAAUUUCCGCGGCCGCCUAUGGAUGGC
rnacentral:rRNA from 1 species